GUAUAGGUAUUGCCGAAUGGGUGGAAGAGGUGCAGGCCUGUUUGAGGGUACGACAUCUUUCACCAGCCGACCAAGCCCUUUUCAUCUAUGAUCAUCUAGAAGGCGAGCCCAGAGAAGAGAUUAAAUAUCGGCUUCCAGAGGAGAAAGACGAUCCCGAAAAGAUUUUGACUAUUUUACAGGAACUGUAUGGAUGUACUAAGUCAUAUGUUUCUCUGCAGGAAGAGUUCUUUUCAAGACGACAGCAGGAGGGAGAAACAUUGCAAGAGUUUUCGCAUGCUCUUAUUCCCCUCAUGUUCUGCUGAACAAAGAUGUGUUGCUUAGAGACCAAUUUGUUGAAAAUGUGCUUGAUUGUUUCUUACGCAGAGAAUUAAAACAGUAUGUCCGCAGCCACCCUACUGCCACCUUGAUGGAUGUUCGUCAUGAGGCUAUAUUAUGGGAGCGUGGAGGUAUGCCAGGGGGCGGGAGGGAUAGAAGUUACUCGGUUCCCCCAGCGCUAGGCUUUCAACACACUGUCCAGGAGGUCCCUUUUAGAGGUAGUCCGGCAGGUAUUGCACCCUAUGCAUCUGAAAUACGGG
ensembl:lncRNA